CAUUGGUCGAGAGCUAGUGCCACUCUCCUGAUGAGUCCAAGGCAUGAUGAAACCAGUG
rnacentral:hammerhead_ribozyme from 1 species